rnacentral:rRNA from 1 species
GACGAACGCUGGCGGCGUGCUUAACACAUGCAAGUCGAACGGUGAAGCGCCUUCCUUUUUGGUGGGUGUGGAUGAGUGGCGAACGGGUGAGUAACACGUGAGUAACCUGCCCCCUUCUUCUGGAUAACCGCAUGAAAGUGUGGCUAAUACGGGAUAUUCUGGGUCUGUCGCAUGAUGGGUCUGGGAAAGAUAUUGUUUCGGUGGGGGAUGGGCUCGCGGCCUAUCAGCUUGUUGGUGGGGUGAUGGCCUACCAAGGCGGUGACGGGUAGCCGGCCUGAGAGGGUGGACGGUCACAAUGGGACUGAGACACGGCCCAGACUCCUACGGGAGGCAGCAGUGGGGAAUAUUGCACAAUGGGCGCAAGCCUGAUGCAGCGACGCCGCGUGAGGGAUGGAGGCCUGCGGGUUGUGAACCUCUUUCGCCAGUGAAGCAGGCCUGCCUCGUUUGUGGGUGGGUUGACGGUAGCUGGAUAAGAAGCGCCGGCUAACUACGUG